UACAGAGGGGGCAAGCGUUGUUCGGAAUUACUGGGCGUAAAGGGCGCGUAGGCGGCCUUCUAAGUCGAACGUGAAAUCCCCGGGCUCAACCCGGGAACUGCGUCCGAUACUGGAAGGCUUGAAUCCGGGAGAGGGAUGCGGAAUUCCAGGUGUAGCGGUGAAAUGCGUAGAUAUCUGGAGGAACACCGGUGGCGAAGGCGGCAUCCUGGACCAAUUCUGACGCUGAGGAGCGAAAGCCAGGGGAGCAAACGGG
rnacentral:rRNA from 1 species